UCUGCUUUCAUUAUAUUACUCCUGCAGUGAACACAAUAAUAUAUAACUAAACGUUAUGAAAAUAUAAAAUAAAAUAAUUUUUCAUUGAAAGUACACAUUCUGAUAUAAUAUGCAAUAUUAAAAAUGUAUGAGAAUAUUAUAUUGAUUCUUAAAAUACAAUAAAGUUCUAUUUCGUACCUAAGUAGUUUAAAACGUUUGUAGAAAUGUUCAGUUAUUCGAUAAUAUGGUUGAAAUAAAGUUUUGAUAUAAUUCAACUACCUACCGAUAAAAGUUAUUAUAGUAAUAUUUAUUUUAUUUAAUUUUCAUUUUACCAAUGGGCAAUGUUGGAAAAAGAGUUAAUAUUUUUGACGGGCGUGUUACUGCUAUAAAUGAGAAGUUGGGAAUGUAGGAUAUAAUAUAGAGUUGUUUAAUUUAUAUCUAUAGGUACAUAACGGUAAAUUAUUGUUGAUGACGAAAUAACAAUUCUGAGUUAAGUUCGGUUAAAUGAAAUAAUGUUUGACUGGGGAGAGUCCAAUUUCCUUUUAGAAAAUGUGCUAUCAUUGAAAAUGUGAG